UCUGACUGACUGAGUGACUGACUGACGAGA
rnacentral:piRNA from 2 species